CCUACGGGAGGCUGCAGUGAGGAGUAUUGGUCAAUGGGCGUAAGCCUGAACCAGCCAAGUCGCGUGAGGGAUGAAGGUUCUAUGGAUCUUAAACCUCUUUUAUAAGGGAAUAAAGUGCGGGACGUGUCCCGUUUUGUAUGUACCUUAUGAAUAAGGAUCGGCUAACUCCGUGCCAGCAGCCGCGGUAAUACGGGGGAUGCAAGCGUUAUCCGGAUUUAUUGGGUUUAAAGGGUGCGUAGGCUGGGAGGUAAGUCAGCGGUGAAAUGCCCCCGCGCAACGGGGUGAAGUGCCAUUGAUACUGCCUGGCUGGAAUGCGGAUGCCGUGGGAGGAAUGUGUGGUGUGGCGGUGAAAUGCAUAGAUAUCACACAGAACACCGAUUGCGAAGGC
rnacentral:rRNA from 1 species